UUCAUCUUUACAAGUAAGAAGUGUUGUUUGCUUUAAUAUUCCACUCCUUUAAUCACCUCUUGUGUGUGUCCACUUUGGUUGAGAGGGUUGUCUCAAUAGUACCAAAGUGAGAGAGAAGGUUUGUGAGCUCAACUAUAAAGCUCUAGUUUGGUUUUAUAGAGUUUCCGGGAAAACUCUUAGGUUGAGUCUACCUUUAAAGAUUUCAGAGGUUUUUAAGAGUUCUUUGAUACUCUAAGGUACUAACUUACCCGUAAAAGUUAGAGGUUCUUAAAAGUGCCCUUGAUACUCUAAGGUGUGAGUCUACCCGUAAAAGACUGAUUCCUAAGCGAAGUAGCCUUAAAGCUUAGAGAGGUUUUUAAGAGUUCCUUGAUACUCUAAGGUACUAACUUACCCGUAAAAGUUAGAGGUUCUUAAGAGUGCCCUUGAUACUCUAAGGUGUGAGUCUACCCGUAAAAGACUGGUUCCUAAGCGAAGUAGCCUUAAAGCUUAAAAAG
rnacentral:lncRNA from 1 species